rnacentral:rRNA from 1 species
GACAGAGGUGCCGAGCGUUAGGCGGAAUCACUGGGCUUAAAGCGUGUGUAGGCGGGCGGGCAAGUACCUUGUGAAAUCCCACGGCUCAACCGUGGAACUGCUGGGUAUACUGGUUGUCUUGAGCCAGCUAGGGGCGAGCGGAACAGACGGUGGAGCGGUGAAAUGCGUAGAUAUCGUCUGGAACGCCGAAGGUGAAAACAGCUCGCUGGGGCUGCGCUGACGCUGAGACACGAAAGCCAGGGGAGCGAACGGG